rnacentral:rRNA from 1 species
AGAGUUUGAUCCUGGCUCAGAUUGAACGCUGGCGGCAUGCCUUACACAUGCAAGUCGAACGGCAGCGCGGGAGCAAUCCUGGCGGCGAGUGGCGAACGGGUGAGUAAUACAUCGGAACGCGUCCUGGAGUGGGGGAUAGCUCGGCGAAAGCCGGAUUAAUACCGCAUACGCUCUAUGGAGGAAAGCGGGGGAUCGCAAGACCUCGCGCUCAAGGAGCGGCCGAUGGCGGAUUAGCUAGUUGGUAGGGUAAAGGCCUACCAAGGCGACGAUCCGUAGCUGGUCUGAGAGGACGACCAGCCACACUGGGACUGAGACACGGCCCAGACUCCUACGGGAGGCAGCAGUGGGGAAUUUUGGACAAUGGGGGAAACCCUGAUCCAGCAAUGCCGCGUGUGUGAAGAAGGCCUUCGGGUUGUAAAGCACUUUUGUCCGGAAAGAAAUCCUAUGGGCUAAUACCCCGUGGGGAUGACGGUACCGGAAGAAUAAGCACCGGCUAACUACGUGCCAGCAGCCGCGGUAAUACGUAGGGUGCGAGCGUUAAUCGGAAUUACUGGGCGUAAAGCGUGCGCAGGCGGUUUGCUAAGACCGAUGUGAAAUCCCCGGGCUUAACCUGGGAACUGCAUUGGUGACUGGCAGGCUAGAGUAUGGCAGAGGGGGGUAGAAUUCCACGUAGCAGUGAAAUGCGUAGAGAUGUGGAGGAAUACCGAUGGCGAAGGCAGCCCCCUGGGCCAAUACUGACGCUCAUGCACGAAAGCGUGGGGAGCAAACAGGAUUAGAUACCCUAGUAGUCC